UCAAAGAAAGAACGUUUCCUUCUAUUUCGAGAGAGGACAAGGGAAGAAACCACUCAGGUAGCCGCGAUCAAUUUCAGCAAGAGCAACAGGAAUUGGAGCUCCAAUUUUCGUUUCCGCAGUGUUUUCUGAAGUUGAAAUGGAUUCUGAAACUGCCCUAGAGCUUGUAAAGCAGGGAGCGACGAUUCUCCUCCUCGACGUUCCUCAGUACACCCUCGUUGGAAUUGAUACUCAGAUGUUCUCUGUAGGGCCUUCUUUCAAGGGUAUAAAGAUGAUUCCUCCAGGACCUCAUUUCCUUUAUUACAGCUCAUCGUGCAGAGACGGCAGAGAGUUUUCACCAAUUACUGGCUUUUUUAUAGAUGCUGGUCCCUCUGAGGUUAUUGUUCGGAGGUGGGAUCCGACGGAGGAGCGACUGGUUAAAGUAUUAGAAGAAGAGGAGGAGCGAUUUGGGGAAGCAGUUAGACAAUUGGAGUUUGACAGACAACUUGGUCCGUAUAAUCUGGGUCAAUAUGGAGAAUGGAAACGUAUAUCUAACCACAUCAGCAGUACUACAAUUAAGCGACUAGAACCCAUUGGAGGUGACAUUACUGUGGCUUGUGAACCUGGAAUUUCUCAGAGCACUUCUAAGCCAGCAAUAGAGAAAGUCCUGGAUGAUCAGUUAAAGGCUAGUAAGUUUGCAACACCUGUUGAUUCAUCUCAGAGGAGAGGAUGUUAUUACACAGAAAUUCCCCAUGUCAUCAAAAAGAGAGGAGUUCAAGGGCAGGAACUAACUUAUUUGAAUCUCGAUAAGACCUUACUACUAGAAAACUUACUGAAAAAAUAUUUUGGAGGUUCAGAGGACCUACUUCUUGGCGAGCUACAGUUUGCAUUCGUUGUUUUUUUGAUGGGACAAUCACUUGAAGGAUUUCUGCAGUGGAAAUCAUUAAUUACCCUGUUUCUUGAGUGCACAGAAGCCCCUUUUUGCACAAGGAGUCAACUAUUUACAAAGUUCAUUAAGGUUAUCUACCAUCAAUUGAAAUUUGGAUUAGGGAGAGAUCGUUCUAAUGAUACAGUAGGAUCAUCAUCAACAAUUUUAGACGAAUCAUGGUUUACUGCUGAUAGUUUCUUGUAUCGUUUAUGUAAGGAUUUCUUUUCAUUGGUGCUAGAGGCUCCGGUUGUUGAUGGGGAUCUUCUGACAUGGGUUGUGAAGCAGGUUGCAUCGUUAUUGCUCGACGUUGGAUCUUCACCGGGUCGUGAAAGGAUAAAAAGCCACACUUGAUCGAAGAUUGAAGAUGCAAAAUUGGUUGAGUCAUUAUUGAGUUUGAUCAAGAGUGGUUGGCGAGUACAUAAUGGAACUUUCAAGCCUGAUUAUUUACAACAACUCGAACGUAUGCUGUAUGAGAAAAUUCUUAGUUGUAGCAUAGGAGCAUGAACAAUGGAGUGCAAUGGUUAGGUUUUUAAAGCGACAAUAUACAACAAUUAAUGAGAUGUUGAGCAAUGCAUGUAGCGAAUUCGGUUGGAAUGAGUUCAAGUGUGUGGACGAAGGGAAGGACGUGUUCUAUUUAUUGGAUUUGGGUAAGAUAAUACAUUACAGUAUAUUAUCACAAUUGAUGUACUCUUUCUAACAUAAUAUAUAUCCAUUUAUAGUCACAUCCCAACGCGAAGGGUAUAAAACAAACCAUUCUCUCACUUUGAUGAGCUUUCUAUCAUCUUUGGGAAGAAUAAAGCUAUUGGUGAGAGCUGUCAGAGCCCCCAUUGAUCAGGCAUCUGAAAUGACAGAACAUAUGGAGGAUCCUAAAUUGAGAUCACAGGAUAAUGAAUAGCUAAAAGAUCAACCAUAUGAGAACAUAUCGAUUGUUGAUGGCAGUGAUAAGGUUUUCUCAGAGACACCUACCAGUAGGCGUGUUGGACUUAGCAACUUCCAGAGGAAGCAAGCGAAAGAGAAAUACAGUCUAAUCUCAAUUUCUUAAUAUGGUAGAAAGAGCGAUGGAUGCCCAAGAAAUUCAAAUGGAAAAGCUUGUGUCAUGGAAAAGAGAGAAAUAUGAAUUGGAGUUUGGGAGGCAAAAGGAAGUCGUCGAGCAAAUCUAUCAGGUUAAGGAUUUGGAGGAAAAUGAUCGAGUGACCCUUAUCAAUCUACUAGUGACUGAUAUUCAGAAAACAGACUGUUUUUUAGUCGUUUCCCUCGAGACGAGAAGAAGGUAUUGUCUGCAUGUGUUGGACAAGUCUUACUGACUCAUAAUUGAGGAUUUGGAGGAAAAUGAUCGAGUGACCCUUAUCAAUCUACUAGUGACUGAUAUUCAGAAAACAGACUGUUUUUUAGUCGUUUCCCCCGAGACGAGAAGAAGGAGCUUGAAUCUGGGACAUCCUGAAGCAACCUGCUCCGAUACCAUUUUAUAUCACCAAUUAACUCAAAAGCUUAUAGUGGGUGAAGACGAGGAAACUCAAGGAACUGUUGGAGAACAGACUGGGCUGGAAAUUCCAGAACAAUAUUGCAGCUGAUGGAAUUUCCUUUGAUGAAGAUGAUGAGUUUGCUCCUGUAGUUGUGAGGAUGGAUGAUUCUGAGUUGUCAUGAG